UGAGGAAUAUUGCGCAAUGGCCGAAAGGCUGACGCAGCGACGCCGCGUGAGGGAUGAAGUCCGUUAGGAUGUAAACCUCUUUUGCAGGGGAUGAAACCGCCGCUACAGGCGGCGGAUGACCGUACCCUGCGAAUAAGGAUCGGCUAACUACGUGCCAGCAGCCGCGGUAAUACGUAGGAUCCGAGCGUUGUCCGGAAUUACUGGGUGUAAAGGGCGUGUAGGUGGGUCUUUAAGUCGGUGGUGAAAUCUUGCGGCUCAACCGCAAAACUGCCGUCGAUACUGGGGACCUUGAGUGCGGAAGAGGGAAAUGGAAUUCAUGGUGUAGCGGUGAAAUGUGUAGAUAUCAUGAAGAACACCAGUUGCGAAGGCGGUUUCCUGGUCCGCUACUGACACUGAGGCGCGAAAGCGUGGGGAGCAAACAGG
rnacentral:rRNA from 1 species